rnacentral:rRNA from 1 species
GAUGAACGCUGGCGGCGUGCCUAAUACAUGCCAGUCGAGCGAACAGACGAGGAGCUUGCUCCUCUGACGUUAGCGGCGGACGGGUGAGUAACACGUGGAUAACCUACCUAUAAGACUGGGAUAACUUCGGGAAACCGGAGCUAAUACCGGAUAAUAUAUUGAACCGCAUGGUUCAAUAGUGAAAGACGGUUUUGCUGUCACUUAUAGAUGGAUCCGCGCCGCAUUAGCUAGUUGGUAAGGUAACGGCUUACCAAGGCAACGAUGCAUAGCCGACCUGAGAGGGUGAUCGGCCACACUGGAACUGAGACACGGUCCAGACUCCUACGGGAGGCAGCAGUAGGGAAUCUUCCGCAAUGGGCGAAAGCCUGACGGAGCAACGCCGCGUGAGUGAUGAAGGUCUUCGGAUCGUAAAACUCUGUUAUUAGGGAAAAACAAAUGUGUAAGUAACUGUGCACAGCUUGACGGUACCUAAUCAGAAAGCCACGGCUAACUACGUG